AUGUAAAGGAGGGAAGGGUUAUUAUAGAGCGCACGAAAAUGGAUACUGUGAUAGCAUAUUGACAUUGAAACUUCUGACGAUGACACACAUUAUAUAUGGAAUACACUGCCAUCUUCUUUCUCUUUGUCCCAUUCCGUAUCUCCUCCUUCCCUUUUGCUUCUGAUUCCAGUUACUUCUCUUCCGCUUUCCCCAUCCUUCCCAUCUCCUUCAUCUUCUUUCCGCUUCUCCCUUCUGAUUCUCCUCUGCUACCUGACAUUUUUUUUUUAAAACAAAAUUUAUUUCAGGAUUCGCCGCAUCCGAUUCUUGCAGUUUCCACUUCGGUAAUAAUUCCAUAUUUCUACACCUGCCGAUCGUUGACCCCGACACCUGUUCUUCUGGUUGUUUGUGGUUAUCUCUGUCUUUAAAGGUUAAUAAUACAGGUAGCUGAGGGACGGAGGUGGUUCGGUUGGGACUAUGGAGGUAAACUUUGGACAUUUGCAGCAUUUAUCAAUCCGGAUUGAUUUCGGAAUGGUUGUGAGGAAACCGAGUGGUUCGGUUCGAUUUCUUCAGCCAAUUUCUGAUCAGCAGAAGCUUCCGGGGCUUGUUUCGGCUUUUCAGCAACCUCUGAGACUUUCGAAUCGAUGCAGAACGGUCUCUGUGGAGACUUCCUGUUAUCGUGAGAAUAUUUCAGGUUUGACAUUGGAAACUGAAAAAUCUCAUCCCUUCGACAAAGAUCUACUUUUAAAGAACAAGUCACAAGAGGUCCAGCCCCAUCUAAAUGGACAAUGCAUAUAUUUAGUUGGAAUGAUGGGCUCUGGAAAGACAACCAUAGGCAAGAUUCUAGCGAAAGAAUUGGGUUACACAUUCUCUGACAGCGAUACAUUGGUGGAGCAAGAAGUUGGUGGAACAUCAGUGGCUGACAUUUUCAAGCUUCACGGCGAGGUUUUUUUCAGGGAUAAGGAGACUGAGGUAUUGAGAAAACUAUCAUUGAUGCACGGGUUUGUUAUUUCCACUGGAGGAGGUAUUGUUGUUCGUCCUAUUAACUGGAAAUAUAUGCGCAAUGGGAUUAGCAUCUGGCUAGAUGUUCCAUUGGAAGCCUUGGCAAAGAGAAUUGCUGCAGUAGGUACUGAUUCUCGCCCCCUCUUGCACCACGAGUCAGGCAAUGCCUACACGAAGGCUUUCAGGCGAUUGUCAGUCCUUCUUGAGGAAAGGGGUGAUGCAUAUGCCAACGCCAAUGCCAAAGUUUGUUUAGGAAGUCUUGCUGACAAGCUAGGGUUGUCAGAUGUUUGUAAUCUUACACCCGCAGAUAUUGCUGUAGAGGCGCUUGUACAAAUUCAGAACUUCCUAGAACAGGAAAAUGAUUACGCUACAACUUAAUAGUGCAAGAAGCAUGGAAUUCAUUUGCUUCUAAGCCCGUUGUAUAAUCAUGGGAUGGAUAGUUUGCAAAUAUAAAUCCAACUGUGGGGUAUCAUUUAAUUGAAAACCUAUUAGCAUCAAUAAAUAAUUUGGUUUUGUUUGCAAUUAUUUGAAAGCUGUGAAUUUUUAAUUCUAAAGACCAAAUGACCAUAUUGUCCUUUUGAACAUAUAUCAACGUUACAAAAAAGAAGCCCUACUUAGUUGUCUCACUAAUUUGACCCAAAUAGUUGUGAUGAGACACAAAGCACAUUAUAUAAGCUUGGUCUAAAUCAUACUCGUAUUGAAAAACAUACAACAUCCAUUCUAUUGUGUGAUCACUCAAUAUGAGCACAUAUUUUAUUGAAUACAUAUUUUGUUGUUUGA